rnacentral:rRNA from 1 species
AUUGAACGCUGGCGGCAGGCCUAACACAUGCAAGUCGAGCGAGCGGCGGGCGGGGGCGGAAGGUAUGGGGACUGCCCGAUACAGGGGGAUAACUACUGGAAACGGUAGCUAAAAACGCAUACUAUCGGAUAACCCAUAUGGGAUUAGCUAGUAGGUGGGGUAAUGGCUCACCUAGGCGACGAUCCCUAGCUGGUCUGAGAGGAUGAUCAGCCACACUGGGACUGAGACACGGCCCAGACUCCUACGGAGGCAGCAGUGGGGAAUAUUGCACAAUGGGCGCAAGCCUGAUGCAGCCAUGCCGCGUGUAUGAAGAAGGCCUUAGGGUUGUAAAGUACUUUCAGUCGGGAGGCGUUACCGACAGAAGAAGCACCGGCUAACUCCGUGCCAGCAGCCGCGGUAAUUC